AUAGAGGCGCGGCUGACAUGAGUACCCAGGGGAAGCCCGGGCCGGGGCAGAGAACCCAAGGGGAAAGGGAAAGCCGCCGAAACGCGGAGGCAAGGCCGUGCGCCGCGUUGGUCAAGGAGAGAAUAUUUCCCUGACUGUCAUGGUUCGCCAUGGAGCGCUAUUC
rnacentral:ncRNA from 1 species